AGAGUUUGAUCCUGGCUCAGAACGUACGCUGGCGGCACGCCUAAUACAUGCAAGUCGAACGAAGUAGCAAUACUUAGUGGCAGACGGGUGAGUAACAUGUAGGUAUCUACCCUUUGGCCUGGAAUAACACGAGGAAACUUGUGCUAAUACCGGAUAAGUCUUUACGGAGAAAGCUUUAUGCACCAUUGGAUGAGCCUGCACUUGAUUAGUUUGUUGGUGGGGUAAUGGCCUACCAAGACAAUGAUCAAUAGCUGAUUUGAGAGGAUGAUCAGCCACAUUGGGACUGAGACACGGCCCAAACUCCUACGGGAGGCAGCAGUAGGGAAUCUUGCACAAUGGAGGAAACUCUGAUGCAGCGAUGCCGCGUGAGUGAAGAAGGCCUUUGGGUUGUAAAGCUCUUUCGUCGGGGAAGAAAAUGACUGUACCCGAAUAAGAAGGUCCGGCUAACUUCGUGCCAGCAGCCGCGGUAAUACGAAGGGACCUAGCGUAGUUCGGAAUUACUGGGCUUAAAGAGUUCGUAGGUGGUUAAAAAAGUUGGUGGUGAAAUCCCAGAGCUUAACUCUGGAACUGCCAUCAAAACUUUUUAGCUAGAGUAUGAUAGAGGAAAGUAGAAUUUCUAGUGUAGAGGUGAAAUUCGUAGAUAUUAGAAAGAAUACCGAUUGCGAAGGCAGCUUUCUGGAUCAUUACUGACACUGAGGAACGAAAGCAUGGGUAGCGAAGAGGAUUAGAUACCCUCGUAGUCCAUGCCGUAAACGAUGUGUGUUAGACGUUGGAAAUUUAUUUUCAGUGUCGCAGCGAAAGCGAUAAACACACCGCCUGGGGAGUACGACCGCAAGGUUAAAACUCAAAUGAAUUGACGGGGACCCGCACAAGUAGUGGAGCAUGUGGUUUAAUUCGAAGAUACGCGCAGAACCUUACCAACACUUGACAUGUUCGUCGCGACUCUAAGAGAUUAGAGUUUUCGGUUCGGCCGGACGAAACACAGGUGCUGCAUGGCUGUCGUCAGCUCGUGUCGUGAGAUGUUGGGUUAAGUCCCGCAACGAGCGCAACCCUUACUUUUAGUUGCCAUCAUUUAGUUGGGCACUCUGAAAGAACUGCCAGUGAUAAGCUGGAGGAAGGUGGGGAUGACGUCAAGUCCUCAUGGCCCUUAUGUGUUGGGCUACACACGUGCUACAAUGGUAUCUACAACAGGAAGCAAGAUGGCAACAUUAAGCAAAUCCCAAAAAGAUACCUCAGUUCGGAUUGCACUCUGCAACUCGAGUGCAUGAAGCUGGAAUUACUAGUAAUCGUGGAUCAGCGUGCCACGGUGAAUACGUUCCCGGGUCUUGUACACACCGCCCGUCACACCAUGGGAGUUGGUUCUACCUUAAGGCAAGGUUUAAAACCCUUGACCACGGUAUAGUCAGCGACUGGGGUGAAGUCGUAACAAGGUAACC
rnacentral:rRNA from 1 species